rnacentral:lncRNA from 1 species
UUCUCUUCAAAUGAUAGUUCAUUAGGCGUUUCUUCCUGUGUUGGUUUUUCAUGUGCUUCUUCAGUUACUGGUUUUUCAGGUUUCUCCUUAGUUGUUGGUUCUUCGCUUGUCUCCUCAGCUGAUUGUUCUUCAAGCUUCUCUCCUGUUGUUGAUUUUUCUGGUUUCUCUUCAAUUAUCGGUGGUUCAGGUUUUUUCUCAACCGGUGAUUCUUCUGGUUUCUCCAAAACCAUUGAUUCUUCAUGUUUUUUUUCAACUACUGACUCUUCAGUGUUUUCCUCAACUGAUGCAUAGUCAGCAAUAUCGUUGUUGGUAUUGCUUGGAAUUGCAUUGUCUAUCUUGUCCUUUGAGUUUACUUUUGGCAUAUUCUGCAAUGAAGUUUCACGUAGUCUUUCAAUAGAUAAACAAAUGUAAAUUUGUUGCACAUAUAAAAGCUAAUAUGAUGGAUAAAAUUUGUGCCAGUGUUUAAUCCUCACCUUCUCCUGAAGAGCUUCCGCUUCAAGUUCCUCCUCUUCAAUUGCAGGUUUUUCAUCUUUCUCUCCAACAACUAGUUCUUCAGGUUUCUCUUCAAGUGCCAGUUCUUCAGGUGUUUCCUCCUUUGCCAGCUCUUCAGGUGUUUCCUCCUUUGCCAGCUCUUCAGGUGUUUCUUUAGCUGCCGGUUCUUCAGGUUUCUCUUCAACCUCCGGUUCUUGUGGUAUUUCCUCUACUUGUACUUCAGAUUUCUCCUCAAUUGUUGGUUCUUCAGGUUUCUCUCUAACCGCUGCUGCAUUAGGUUUCUCUUCAUUGGCUGGUUCUUCAGGUUUUUCUUCAACUACCGAUUCUUCAGGAUUUUCCUCAAUGUUUGGAAAGGGAGCGACAUCAUUAUUGGUAUUGCAUGGAAUUUCACUGCCAGUUUUGUCAUUCAAGUCCACAACUAGUAUAUUCUGCAAAAGAGUUUAAUGUUUCACUUAGUCUUUCAAUAAAGAAGCAGAUGCGAAUCAUUACAUAUACAUAACUAAUAACAUGGAUAAACUUUAUGACAGUAGUUGACCCUUACCUUUUCCACAAGAGUUACUUUUGCAGGUUUCUCCUCUUCAAGUGCUGGUUUCUCUUCAAAUGAUAGUUCAUUAGGUGUUUCUUCCCGUGUUGGUUCUUCAUGUGCUUCUUCAGUUACUGGUUUUUCAGGUUUCUCCUCAAUUGUUGGUUCUUCGCUUGUCUUCUCAACUGAUGGUUCCUCAUGCUUCUCUCCCGUUGUUGAUUUUUCGGGUUUCUCUUCAGUUGUCGAUGGUUCAGUUUUUUUCUCAACCGCUGGUUCUUUUGGCUUCUCCAAAACCAUUUCCGAUUUCUCUUCAGUUGGUGGUUCUUCAUGGUUUUUUUCAACUACUGGUUCUUCUCUUUUUUCCUCAACUGAUGCAUAGUCAGCAAUAUCGUUGUUGGUAUUGC